GACGAACGCUGGCGGCGUGCUUAACACAUGCAAGUCGAACGAGAAGAGAUGAGAAGCUUGCUUCUUAUCGAUUCGAGUGGCAAACGGGUGAGUAACGCGUAAGCAACCUGCCCUCUAGAUGGGGACAACAGCUGGAAACGGCUGCUAAUACCGAAUACGUUCUUUCUGCCGCAUGGCAGAAGGAAGAAAGGGAGGCUCUUCGGAGCUUUCGCUGGAGGAGGGGCUUGCGUCUGAUUAGCUAGUUGGAGGGGUAACGGCCCACCAAGGCGACGAUCAGUAGCCGGUCUGAGAGGAUGAACGGCCACAUUGGGACUGAGACACGGCCCAGACUCCUACGGGAGGCAGCAGUGGGGAAUCUUCCGCAAUGGACGAAAGUCUGACGGAGCAACGCCGCGUGAACGAUGACGGCCUUCGGGUUGUAAAGUUCUGUUAUACGGGACGAAUGGUACGACGGUCAAUACCCGUCGUAAGUGACGGUAC
rnacentral:rRNA from 1 species